rnacentral:rRNA from 1 species
CGACUCUCGGCAACGGAUAUCUCGGCUCUCGCAUCGAUGAAGAACGUAGCGAAAUGCGAUACUUGGUGUGAAUUGCAGAAUCCCGUGAACCAUCGAGUUUUUGAACGCAAGUUGCGCCCAAAGCCAUUAGGCUAAGGGCACAUCUGCCUGGGCGUCAC